AUUCUACCCAUGUGGGGAAGGAUGAGAAGCUUCGACUAAGGUUCGAUUCGAGCGCAGCGAGAAAGCGUUGCCGCAGGCAACGACCCGAAGGG
rnacentral:sRNA from 1 species